rnacentral:lncRNA from 1 species
UCAUGAGUUCGAUUCCCAAUCAUAGCAUGGUAUAUAAUAAUUGGCGCUCUUGCUAUCACCUCGGUCAUCUUAAUCAACCCUAGUGAAAUACUUUUUUUUUAAUAUUUUUUUUAUUUAAUCCAUACUUUCCUAUUUUUUUAGUACAUGUAUUUUAUAUGUUAUAUUUUACCACAACACAACUAGAAAAUACUUAUAUCUUUG